rnacentral:rRNA from 1 species
GACGAACGCUGGCGGCGUGCCUAAUACGUGCUAGUCGAGCGGAAGUUGGAGAGCUUGCUCUUCAACUUUAGCGGCGGACGGGUGAGUAACACGUGGGCAACCUGCCCUGCAGAUCGGGAUAACUCCGGGAAACCGGUGCUAAUACCGAAUAGUUUUCGCCACCUCCUGGUGGCGUACGGAAAGACGGUUUCGGCUGUCACUUCAGGAUGGGCCCGCGGCGCAUUAGCUAGUUGGUGGGGUAACGGCCCACCAAGGCGACGAUGCGUAGCCGACCUGAGAGGGUGAUCGGCCACACUGGGACUGAGACACGGCCCAGACUCCUACGGGAGGCAGCAGUAGGGAAUCUUCCGCAAUGGACGAAAGUCUGACGGAGCAACGCCGCGUGAGUGACGAAGGUUUUCGGAUCGUAAAACUCUGUUGUGAGGGAAGAACAAGUACCACUUAACUACUGGUACCUUGACGGUACCUCACCAGAAAGCCACGGCUAACUACGUGCCAGCCGCCGCUGUAAGAC